CGGCGAGCGAACGGGGAGCAGCCCAGAGCCUGAAUCAGUGUGUGUGUUAGUGGAAGCGUCUGGAAAGGCGCGCGAUACAGGGUGACAGCCCCGUACACAAAAAUGCACAUACUGUGAGCUCGAUGAGUAGGGCGGGACACGUGGUAUCCUGUCUGAAUAUGGGGGGACCAUCCUCCAAGGCUAAAUACUCCUGACUGACCGAUAGUGAACCAGUACCGUGAG
rnacentral:rRNA from 1 species